UACGUAGGGGGCUAGCGUUAUCCGGAAUUACUGGGCGUAAAGGGUGCGUAGGUGGUUUCUUAAGUCAGAGGUGAAAGGCUACGGCUCAACCGUAGUAAGCCUUUGAAACUGGGAAACUUGAGUGCAGGAGAGGAGAGUGGAAUUCCUAGUGUAGCGGUGAAAUGCGUAGAUAUUAGGAGGAACACCAGUUGCGAAGGCGGCUCUCUGGACUGUAACUGACGCUGAGGAGCGAAAGCAUGGGUAGCGAACAGGAUUAGAUACCCCCGUAGUCCCUGAG
rnacentral:rRNA from 1 species